AAGACAGUACUCUAUGGACUGAUAAACCAAAGGCAAAUAAACUCUGGGUGAACAUGUUAUUAGGGUUAACAGACGGGCUACCAACUGGUUUAGUGGCAAAAAUUCUUGAAAGCUCACGAGGCCACAUGUAGACAGUUUUUAAUUCUUUUUUAUUGAGCCUUAUAUAUUUUCACUUCUAUAAACCAAGAUGUACAAAAAUACCAAAGUUUUGUAAACAGUAUCAGUACCAUAAAUGCUUUUUUUGUACUAACAUAAAUUAUUUUACGUAUUUUUUUAUAUUCUGUAACUUUGUGUUCAACGUGUCUAAAUGUCCUAUUAUAUUAUUUAUUUUUGCAUUUCUCUGUCCUUGUUCUUGCAUUUAUUUGUACUGUUUUCCUGUCAUGUAAUGUUGUCAUUUUAGGUGUAACACCACUAAUUCAGGCCCGGCAGAAGAACAUACCAAAAGUAUAAUAUUUAACACAAAAUAGUUUCCUACGCAUGUAACUUCAAAAUAUUAAGAGUUUUCAUAAUUUUGGUAUCAAUGAAAGCUGCAUGACUGUAUCAUUGUUUUCUGAUAAUUUAAUAAUAAAAAAAUUCAUGAAAUUUAAAAAAGGAAGGGUACAUUUUCUUUUUGUCAGCGGAAGUACCUGUUUUGGUACAUCGAAGCUCUGGGAACCAGUUUCUUAUUGCAUGUAAGGUUGUUAUUUUUUCAGUACAGGACGCCAGAAAGUGUUGUUUUCAUGCAAUGAUUGUCACUUUAUUUGAACUUAAGAUAAAAGAGCUGUGACCACUCGAAAUUGAGGAAUUUAACAUAGAAAGCAAUGGGGCCAUUAAUUAGUGGUGUACUUCCUUUAGGGGUAUUUACAUUGCCUUGAACAUGUGUAAGUAUAAAGUUUGGCUAGCCACAAGACAAAUUUCAACCUACAAUUUUUUCCUAUAAUUAAUGUCCUUUACCAAGUCAGGAAUAUGGCAGUUGUUAUCUAAUAGUUUGUUUCUUCGUAAAUAUUGCAUUGUCGUUUGUUUUUUAUUGCACUUCAGUGUUUCUGUUGUUUUCCUUUUAUCAUGCUUAUACAAUGUAGUUGAUGUGUUUCCCUCGGUUUUAGUUUGUAACCUCAGAUUCAUGUGUCUCAUUCGAUUUAUGACUUUAGUUUUAAACAGCAGUAUACUUCGAUUCUGUUGCCUUUGUUUUAAAUUAUGGACAUAUCAUAUAAUUAUCAAUUAUACUUCAUAUCAACACCUGUAAAUAAGUAAUUUUCACGUUUGAAACAGAAUAUAUAGCAAAAUCU
rnacentral:lncRNA from 1 species